ACUAGCUGACGAGUCCCAGAUAGGACGUGACGCUCGUCCUGUAU
rfam:Schistosoma curassoni strain Dakar, Senegal genome assembly, scaffold: SCTD_contig0003419